AGUUAAUAAAAAGGGUUUUAUAAAAGUGAUAUAAAAAUUCAAUUAAUAUUUACUUAACUACAAAAAUGGAAUAGAUUAGUUACGAAUACAAUUGUUGGUAUACGCAUAGAUGUAUUAUUUCCUUUAUGUUUCUAUUGUUAGUUUGUUACUAAUAUUGUAUAAAUACAUGAACUAAAUGUAACAAUUGCAUACUUGAUUUACUUUUAGAACUGGCUGUGUUAAACCAACAUAAUUAUUAUUUAUAUUUAUUCUAAAACGAAAUAAGAGCUUUUAGUGAUCAAUAAUUAAAUUAAUUUUGUUUGUUUCAUUCUUGAGUUAAAAUCGUUUUACAAAGGAUAGAAAAAGAAUAGCGUAGUCCACUCAUCAUAAGUAUUUUUUGAGCUGUUGCAGUCUUGAACUGGAUAGUCAAUAUUAUAUGCGAUAAGUGUAUAAUGUUUAUCGAGUUAUUCGAUAAAAUGUAUGUUUUCGACAUAGUAUUUUCGUGGAAGAUAUUCAUUAGAAAAAAAAAAAAUCUUAUCGGUACUUAUCAAGUAAAAACUGUACAACUACAUUAACAAUGAUGUAAUGCACUCAGAAAAAAAAAACUAUAAAUAAAAAAUUUAAACUGAAUUUAAUGGGAAACGACAUUGAAACAAAUAAUUUCUAUACGGACUAUUGCAUAAACUUACACGAGUUACAAAUUAAUACUUCCAAGUUUACGCGGCAACCCCAAGUAUCGCCAGUAUGCGAUCGAUUGUCGAAAUAGUCAAUAUUGUCUAUGAAGGUAUACGUAGAAUUGUUAUUUUGUUUUUGUUAUCAUUUUCGUACAAUUAUUGUUAUGGAAAUAUUAUUAUCUAGGUAUGUGAUUAUAUUUCCAUUAAGGCUUUUUGAACGUCGCCGUCGGCAUAAACAUGGCAGGUUGCAAGUACCUAAUUAUUACUUACGACAAACAAUAAACACAUAGAUACACAUGUCGUAAGUUUGUUAGAUAAUUAUUAUAUUAUAAACUAUCAGUCCUAAACGGUAAUAAAAAAUGAUUAAAAUUGUUUUUUUUUUUUUUUUUUUUAAAUCCGCGAUAACGAGGUAAUAGAUAAAUAAACGAAAUUUCGAAUUAUAAAACCAAAAAUCAAGCGUCGUCCACUAUUGAGGGGUCGGAUUACGGAAUAAAAUGAAUAUAGUAAGCUAAAUUAUGCCUCGGAAAAUAUUCUCGCCGUGAAAGUCCCGUCAAAAACGGUUUAGGCCGUUUAUAGAGAUUACCCCGGACAAACAGACAGACAGACACUUCAAUUUUAUUUAUAUUUGUAGAUAUAAUAUAGCGUUUUUAAUUUAAUUGUAAAUUAUCCGCUAUUACACGCGAACUCGCCUCUCGCACUAUACUGUUGUGUACACUCAUCGUAAUUAUUAAUUAAGUCAGAUCUGCGCAUAAGUAUAUAGGCAUAAUAUUAUGUGUGCAUGUGUUUGAGUAUUGAGUGUUAUACUAAUUCGUUUUAAAUAUUCCAUUUAGUUCAUAUUUAUACACGGAUUAUGUAACUAAAAAUAGUUGCUUGAUUGGUAAGUAGGUACGUCUAUUCUAAUUCGAAAUAUAACCUGCAGCAAUACAGGGCGUUCAAAACGUCUCUAAAUUUUAUAAACAUUGUGUACAUUCAGAUAACGAAAUAAGUAAAAGCCGAUAAUUUAUAAUUAUUAUAACAAUACGCGACGAGUUCAACGUACAAAUUAAUAUUUAAAAAAACCAUUGAUAUAAUAAUAUUACAAAGAUAAGUUAAAACUACGACAUAUAGUCGAGAAACAAUGUAUAAGCAUAUUGUAUUAUAAGUUAUUAUAAUUCAUAAUAUCUGAAAUAGUCACAGAUAUUACUAAAUUAUCAAUCUAAUAUACCAUAUUUUAUAUAUAUAAUAUAAAUGCACUUAGCUUUUUAGGUAUUAUAAUUAGACUGCAGUUGUGUAUUUAUUAUUUUAAUACGUAUUUGUUAAUCCAUUAUUAUUAUGCAACUGCUAGCCAAAAAUAAAAUUGGAGUUCUUAAACUAAAACUAAUUAUCGGAUAGAAUUUUAAUUUUAAGUAUAAACCUAUUAUUAUUUUUACGUAGGUAUUACUAUUUUUUGCUUAUUGUGUUUUACGCAUUAUUUUAGACUUGAUUAAUAAAAACAUUCAUGUUAUUAGGAAGUAGUGGAAAAAGUCCCAACUAUAAGUUUGUUUUUUCUUCCGAAGCUAUACAAAUUUAAAUUUUUACUUCAACAUAAAAAAGACUCCGUGACCUUGGAUUGGAGUUUUAUUUUCUUCAAAAUCCAUUUCAAUGAUCACGAAAUGUAUGGUAAAAACCUGCGGUAUUGUUUUCUUGAAAAUAUUGCCAAAAUCGAAAAAAGUUUCAAAUCGAAAAUGUUUGUCGUACAAUUUUCUUCGAAAAAUGUCUCUUGGCUUUUUUCGUUUAAACGUAAAUAUUCAUCGUGAACUAGAACUAAUACACGUGUGAUUCAUUAUGUAAUAAAAUAGCAGUUUCCUAAUCUUUAAACCAUAAUAAAUAUAAUAAAUAUCUACAUAACAUUUUUAUAAUUUUAAACGCAUUCGAAUAAAUAUAAUAGUUCAAAAUCAAGUUUAAGUUGAUAGAUUUGUUUGUUAUAAAUAACUAGAACAAUAUUAAGUAAAACAAAUACAUGUA
rnacentral:lncRNA from 1 species